rnacentral:rRNA from 1 species
GAUGAACGCUAGCGAUAGGCUUAACACAUGCAAGUCGAGGGGCAGCAUUAUUUUAGCUUGCUAAGAUAGAUGGCGACCGGCGCACGGGUGCGUAACGCGUAUGCAACCUGCCUGUAAUUAGGGAAUAACCCGGUGAAAGUCGGACUAAUACCCUAUAUUCUUCUUUCUCCGCAUGGGGAAGGACGGAAAGAUUUAUUGAUUACAGAUGGGCAUGCGUCCCAUUAGCUUGUUGGUAAGGUAACGGCUUACCAAGGCAACGAUGGGUAGGGGGACUGAGAGGUUGACCCCCCACACUGGUACUGAGACACGGACCAGACUCCUACGGGAGGCAGCAGUGAGGAAUAUUGGUCAAUGGGCGAGAGCCUGAACCAGCCAAGUCGCGUGAAGGACGACGGUUCUAUGGAUUGUAAACUUCUUUUUGUAGGAG